GCCGCCGCCCCGCCCCCGCUACAGCCCGCCGUGGCCCCACAGCCCCGCUCUCCGCUGCGGAUCCAUCCUCCCAUCCCCCGUCUCUCGCUCCCUCUCCCGACCCACAUCUCUCUCACGAACUAGGGUUAGGCGCCGCCACACUGUUUUCCUGGUCGACGGCGAGCUCCCGCGCCACCUACGGCUACGCCCAUCCCCGCCUCCCUAUCUCUCCACAGGAGCUCGACCCUACCGCCCUCUCCCGGUGGGAGCUCUACAACGACGAUCGAGCGCUGCAGGGCGUUGGUCCUCCUAUCCCACGCCGCCGCCAGCCGCCUGGACGCCACGCUGGAGGUCCUCGGCGCCGCCGGGAGCCAAGACGCGUUCCUCCACAAAGCCGUGAUCCGGGGCUUCACCGACGCAGGCCACCAUGCUGGCCGCCGUCGCGCACGCCGGCCGCUUCACCUUUCCCGAUCUAGGAAACCAGCAUUGCCGCUCCCCAUCUCUUAAUACAGAGGUGAUGACAAAGGAGGAAGAGGCGUUGUCAAGGUAAAUGAAGAAGAGAAGGCCAGAAAAAGAGAAUCAGCAAGGCAGAAGCUUUUUGAUCUCAAGGCACGAUUCUGCAGGUUGGACGAGCUGCUGACAAAGGCACAUCUGUAUUCUGAAUUUCUACUCGAAAAGAUGGACCAUCAGCUACAGAUUAUGUUGGCAGUUAUUCAAAUGAAAAAUAGGGAGGAACAUGUGGAAGAUCUGAAUAAAGGACAUGGUAUAAAAAGGAAAGCAAAGCCUAAACACUACAGUGAUGCAGUUGGGAUCAACUUUGUGAGUUCACUUGCUCUGUUAGAGACCAACCCUGCUACAACCAGUGAAGGAAGCACAUUUCAUAUGUCAGGAACCACACACAUCGCAGGAGAUGUUGUUUCUGUGUGUUCCAUGUGAUCUUCUGCCAUCGUAUUUACUUUAUUUGAUUUACUUCAGUAACUUGGAAGUAUCUUCACAAGUGCCAUGGUAUGGAAUAGAACGUGAGUACGCUUCGAUGCAGAGAGACGCGAACUCUCCUCUUAGCCAGGACAUGAAGCAUGUGAGAUUGCAGCGAAUUUGUUCAUGCUGGAUCAUUCUGAUUGAUGCUGCUCCUCAACCCAUACUUGCAGAUCCUCAUAUGGGCGGCCAAGGCGAAUUAGGCGAAUCGUUGCUGUUCUUGCUGGGUGAUAACUAGGCCAUGAGUGGACUGUUCGUCUCAUUAUCCAGAUGUAUUUACAAGCUGGCCACCUCCACAAAUCAAUGGAUAUUUUUUUAUCGUGCAACAGUGCAACGUCGUGUUUGAUUCCUUCGGCCUCAUGCUAUCGUAUACAGUACUUCUUAAUCUUUGAGUCAGAAGGAGAAAAUUAUUACGAGUGUAUUGGACAUUCUUGAAGUUGGCAUUAGAUUCUUGCAAAUAAGGAGAUAUUCUAGAUUU